ensembl:lncRNA
AUGGAAAGUGCUGGUACUGUCCCUAGAGUAUUACAAAACAAUGUUGAUUUUUUCUUUAUUUACUUUCCAGGUACUCUUGUUUCAUUUGAAAUUGGUGAGUUGCAGAGAACAGGAAACACUACAGGUGCAAACCAACAGGAUUUCAAGUGCUUUCUCUCACUGCCUGUCCCAGUCCUGAGCCCUGGAGUGACUGUGCAGUCAGGGAUGGAAGAGGAGGAGGAUGCAGAGGAGCAGGACUACAUGCACACGGUGUCAAUCACAAAUGGGCACUUCCCAUGCUGACUGCUUUUCAUGUCCAUGUGGCCAGCCAAGCCUCCAGUCUUCAUCACUGGCUCAUUAAUACCAGAGAGGAGAGCUGAAGUGGUGGACUCAAGUUUUAAGUGAAAUGCUGACUUUUAUGAAAGGAUACAAAUAAUUUUAAACCCUUUCUGGAGUUCAAGAAUAGGCCAAGCUAUUUGUACAGACACAGCUGAUGUGUUUUAUUUUUUUUUUUUUUCCUAUGUGAAGGUUAAUAUGAAGACAUCUGUUAGCUGGACCCAAAAUUUCACUCACACAGCCUGUCUGAAAUCAAAAGAAGGGGUGUAGGAAAAAGACAAGCUGGCAAAAGGGGAACUAACUAGCUACCAUGAAGUAAUACGAGAUGGGUUUGUUGCAAGACUCGUUUUCACAACUUCAGGCUGUAGUAAUCCUUCUUUAAAAAAAAUAAGAACUGAUUUGCUGGAUUACUGGCUGGUAGAGGUUGUUGGUUUCUGCUUCAGUAAUUGCAGACUAUGUCUUGACUGCCAUUUCAUAAGGAAAAAAAAAAGACAUUUUCAGAUGCUGUGAAAUAUCAAUAUGGAAUAUAUCAAGAAAUUUCUGCAAAAUCUCAGGGUUGCAUCAUGAUACUAUAAUGGAAAUCAGUGCAGCUGAGCUUUACUGACCAGUGUAAAAAUUUUCCUGUUAUAAAUUCACAGCUACAAGAUGUUUGUGUAACUACUUUUCUGCAGCACAGUCAUCAUAAUAUUUCAUCUACAACAUGAAAUGAUGAAGAGUCCAACAGUCUGUAAACAUGGAGAAUGAUGUUCAUCUGUAGCUACUGUUAGCAUUGGAUUAUUUCUUCCUGCAAGUCAUUUACUCAUUAGGAAGUGUGCUUUUGAACAACCGCAAGCAUUUGUAGUCACAGAUCAAAUUCAGAGAACAGUUGAUAAUGGAAAUUAUUACUUAAUAUGCAAUUGCUAUAUAUUAUUAAAAGUUAUUAAUAACUGUUUUUGUAUUUAAGGUAAAAGGAAAAAAUGAGGGUGUGCUGUAGCUUCUGGCCUGAGACUCCAGUGCUCUAAUCCAGAUAAUGCUAAACAGAGUGCUUAUUCCUUUGCUGGAAAAAUAUCUGUAAAAGGAUUUUGUCAUACAAAUUAACAACAUUAACAAAUUAGCAGCAUUUUUAUUAUAUUCGCAUUACAACAGCUCCAGUCAGAACAGGAUCAUCUUAUCAUGCUAACUGUACAAACAAAUAUUUCUGACCUGUAGAGCUUACAGUCUAAAUUCAGACACAAUAAACAAAUAAAAUAAAUGGAGAGACUGGAGAAG